rnacentral:piRNA from 1 species
UCAUAUGGAGACAUUUCCUUGGUGCUAAUG